rnacentral:rRNA from 1 species
CGAGUGAACAGGGAAAAGCUCAAAGUUGGAACCUCCUGGUCCUAGAUUAGGCGGAUUGUAAACUAAAGCUCUUGGGUAGUACGGUUGGCCUGAUAAAAAAGUUCUCUGGAAAGAGGCGACAUAGAGGGUGAUAUCCCCGUCUUUGGUCAGAGCUCAAUCAUGCGUUUGCCCUUUAGCGAAGAGUCAGGUUGUUUGGGAAUGCAGCCUAAAAUGGGAGGUAAAUCUCUCCUAAAGCUAAAUAUUGACGAAAGACCGAUAGCGAACAAGUACCGUGAGGGAAAGAUGAAAAGCACUUUGAAAAGAGGGUCAAAAAGUACGUGAAAUUGCUGAAAGGGAACCGUAUGAAAUCAGUCUGAUGUGUUGGUAAUCAAUCUGGAUCUCGAUCCGGAUGCACUUGCCGAUGUAUUAGCCUGCGACAGUUUGAUCUGGAGGAAAAAAGAUGGGAGAAUGUGGCCUUGGCUUCGGUUAAGGUGUUAUAGCUCCUGUCAAAAUACUUUGGAUUGGACUGAGGACUGCAGCGAGCCGCAAGGUAAAGGUCUCGGGCGCUUGCUCUGGUUAUGUAAGAAAUCUCUGCUUCG